rnacentral:lncRNA from 1 species
AAAAAAAUCGAUCUACAAUGAAAAUAUCUUUAAAGUAUAAAAUAUUAAAGCUUGUUGAUAGAAUUAUAAAUAGAUUGAUUACAAAAACAUGGCAUGUAUCCCACUAUCUAUUAUAUAUUGGACCACCAAUAAUGAUUGUCAAUAAAUUGAUAAAUUUCCCAAUUGAAUCGAGACAACGGAUCAAGUUUCAACCCACUAUGUCAUAAGAAAAAACAGCAGAACGCUCUCUCUCCAAAAAUAAUAAAACGCUCUCUCCUCUCUCAUCUCUAGGGUUCCGCCGCCUCGCUCCCCUCGAUUCCGGCGGUCGCCGCAGUGUCUCUCAGGCGGCCGCCGGGCUUUGAUUUCGUUUUCCUGUUUCUUCUCCUUUGUCCUCUUUGUUGUGUCUUCCCAUGUCUCUCUCUGCGGUGUCUUGAUGUAUGGUGAAGGUCGCCAGAUCCGGUUCAGAUCCGGAGGCGUCUCUGGUUUCUCAGUCAGAUCUCGGAGGUUACCGCACUAGAGGACGGUGUAGGCUCCUCCAAAGCUCUGUUUCUAGUCGUCAGUAGCGUCUCUGUCCGGGUUUGGAUUUUGUUGGCCUUGGUCGUGCAUUAGGUUGAGUGGUGGUGUGUGGUGGUUGUAGCGACGCUGGUCCGUGCUAGGCGAGUUCUUCUGUCCAGUGGCGUGGCGGUUGGUCUCAGCUGCAAGGGUUCGGUUCAGCUUCAGAUGUCGCGGAUCUGAAGCUCGGUCUCUCCUCUUCUACAGGUGGUCUCCAGUAGGCGUGCGUGGGCUCUCUAGGAGUCAGUUUCUCUGUCUCCGGUGAGCUCGAGUGGUAACGUGCGAUGGUCGCGGCAGUGCGUGGUGGUGGUAGCUCACGCGCCUCAGAUGAGUUCUUUGCUCUUCCUGCCCUUCUUCAUGGCAGUCUCCGGUGGUUCCGGUUUGUUCUUUGCCGUGUCCUGAGUACUCCACGCUUCACCUCUCUCAAAAUAAGGUAUUGCGGCUCUUGGAUGAGCUCGUUUGGUGGUAUGGACCUUGUUCUUGUUGUUGUGCAGCUGUUGGUCUAGCGGACGGCUCUUUCUCUUGCGGUUGGGCUUCUGGAGGGUUAGCCACCUUUCGGUCUGUUAUCUCUUUAUGAGGUUUCGGUUCAAUGGGUGUAAACGGUCACGGCAAGUUGGAAUGGAGGCGGCAUUCUCUGUGACGACUUGACGAACGACGGCAUCGUCGCUUGGUGGUUCUCUCUCGUGCCGUCGGAGGUUUAGUUGUCGAGUGUUUUGAGUUUGGUUUCGUGCUUGGAUUCUUCAUCCGAGUCUGUUUUCGUUUGAGUGGUCGGAAGCUGCAGGAGCCGUUGUUUCAAGGUUUGAGGGCGCCUUUCUCUCGGUAGCUCGUGGUGCCCGGCUCUCGUACUCAACCAGUCUCGGUUUGUAAGGUCUGAGCUUGACUCAUAGCUAAUCAGCUUCUUUGUCUUUGUCCCGCUAUCUUCGGGUUUGUUUUCGUGCCGUUUAGGAACUGAUGUUUAGUUUUAAUUUCGUCUUCCGCUACUUGUUAUCUUUGUAAUUUCUGUCACAAACUUGAAAAUUGGUAUAAUAAUUUAACAUUUUACCAAAAAAAAAAAAAAAGUUUCAACCCACUUGUUUAUGCUGUAGUUAUGAUAGACCUUGAAUAUUUUAGAAAUAAAUAUUUUUCUUACGUUAUGUAUCAGGAUUAUUCUGAAUUUGAAUUUAAUUGGUUUUCUUCUUUUCUUUGUCUCUUAUUUAAUUUCACCAAAUACUCGAAAUCUAGUCAUGCAAAUGUUAUAACUUAUAAGCAUUUCAAUUUUCAUAAAACGGGUCAACUGUCAGAGAUCUGACCUGAACUGAAACACUAUCGGGCCAUCUUUGAUUUGACACAAGGCAGCCCAUUAGAUAGAUGUCGGCAGGUAAUAUGGACUCAAUACGGGUGGGGUUAC